GCUUGAAUGACUUUGAUGAGUAUAGGGAUUACAAGAGUUGAUCUACCUCGAGAUCGUAAUGGCUAAACCCUAGAUGUCUAGCCUAUAUGAUUGUGAUUGCCUCUACGGACUAAACCCUUCGGUUUAUAUAGACACCGGAGGGGCCUAGGGUUGUACAGAGUCGGUUUACAGGGAAAGGAAUCUUCACAUCCGAAUGUCAAACUUGCCAUCCACGCAAAGGAGAGUCCCAUCCAGACACGGGGGAAGGCCUUCUAUCUUGUAUCUUCACAGCCCAUUAGUCCGGUCCAUGUCACACAUAGCCCGGACGCCCGGGGACCCCUAAUCCAUGACUCCCAACACCGUGAGUUGCCAAUCAGAGCAUGCGUCGCUCACCCAUUGUAGCAUCGCCACGAGUCGGUCGUAGCAUUCCACCAUGCCGCUCCCAGCACCGACGGGUGUUGGUCGCCACCGGUCCAAACAUGGUGGCAACGGCUUGUAGCACCACGACGUCCCGGUCGUAGUAGUGCGCGACGCUGGUCGCAACCCUGUCCACCACAAUUGUAGCACCGCGCGACACUGGUUGUAGCAACUCGCGCCGCCACCCGCAACACUGGUGUCUCCCGAGCUUGCCGUUUGCAGUGACGAUGAAUGCACGCAGCAUCUACGCGCCGCCCCUCACAGCAUGCAUAUGGAGAAUAGGGACAAUGAGGUGGGAGGGCAAGGAGAAUGGAGGAGCUCACGUUGAAGGAGAGGUUAU
rnacentral:rRNA from 1 species